rnacentral:rRNA from 1 species
CGGUAAUACGGAGGAUCCAAGCGUUAUCCGGAAUCAUUGGGUUUAAAGGGUCCGUAGGCGGUCAGAUAAGUCAGUGGUGAAAGCCCAUCGCUCAACGGUGGAACGGCCAUUGAUACUGUCUGACUUGAAUUAUUAGGAAGUAACUAGAAUAUGUAGUGUAGCGGUGAAAUGCUUAGAGAUUACAUGGAAUACCAAUUGCGAAGGCAGGUUACUACUAAUGGAUUGACGCUGAUGGACGAAAGCGUGGGUAGCGAACAGGAUUAGGUACCCUGGUAGUCCACGCCGUAAACGAUGGAUACUAGCUGUUGGGAGCAAUCUCAGUGGCUAAGCGAAAGUGAUAAGUAUCCCACCUGGGGAGUACGUUCGCAAGAAUGAA